AGGAUGAACGCUGGCGGCGUGCCUAACACAUGCAAGUCGAACGUCCUGUCUCGCAAGAGGCAGGGAGUGGCGGACGGGUGAGUACCACGUGGGUCAUCUACCGUGAGGUGAGGAAUACCGGCGAGAAAUCGCCGACAAGACCGCAUAGGCUCGAUGCAAGUCGAGCAAAGCUCUUUCGAGAGAGGGAGCGCCGCACGAGGAGCCUGCGCCCGAUUAGCUAGCUGGUGGAGUAACGGUUCACCAGGGCGACGAUCGGUAGCUGGUCUGAGAGGACGAUCAGCCACACUGGGAUUGAGAACGGCCCAGACUCCUACGGGGGGCAGCAGUGAGGAAUUUUCGUCAAUGGGGGCAACCCUGAACGAGCAACGCCGCGUGCAGGAAGAAGGUUUCGGAUCGUAAACUGCUUUUCUCGGGAAGAGAAUGGACGGUACCGAGGAAUCAGCCCGGCUAACUACGCGCUAGCAGCCGCGGU
rnacentral:rRNA from 1 species